UUACGGCGAUAUCACAUUGAAGUAACUGUUCUCGUCCGAUCACCGAAGUUAACGUUGAACCUGGCUUGUACCUAGAUGGGUGACCCCUGGGGAAUACCAGGUGCUGUAAG